UCCUGACAGACAGACAGCAGAGAGACACAGUCAGAGAGACAGGCAAUCAGAGAGACAUGCAGUCAGAGAGACAGACGAGCGGUCACUGACACUCUCCAUGUAAUUAGUGAAGAAACCCAGCGAGGAACAUGUCAAACAGCGCCACCCUGCGGCCACGGGCUGUUGUCACACAAUUUACUGAUUAUUGAAGCUUUGAAAAUGCAACAUAAAUUAUUUUGGAUCUUUUUCUGUUUUUUAAUUAAAAUUUUAAAAUGUUUUUUUUUCUUAUUUUAACUGGCGUGUUGUCAACAGGAAGUGGGAAAGUGAAAAGUAAUUUGAGAGAAAGAAAGUAUUAAUGUAGGUGCAAUGGAACAAAGACACAACAUGGAAAUACCCAUACGGUUGUGGAUUCGAUGAAACGAAAAAGAAAAAGAAAAGAAAAAAGAGAAAAGAGAAAAGAAAAGAAAAGAAAAGAAAAGAAAAGAAAAGAAAAGAAAAGAAAAGAAAAGAAAAAGAAACACGACUUGAAGACAUGUAGUUCACACUCCGGGGCAGCAGGGGGUGUCGCGACGCGUUUAAGUUUAGGUCGGGUUGCACUUGUGACGUCAUAUUUCCGCGACGGUCAGAGUGUAUAAAAGCCUUCCCGGAACGCGGCAUCGCUCUCUUUCUGUUCGCCUGUCGUCUCCGCAGCUUCUGUCGCACUGCGGCAGUUUUAGUGAAAUUUGUCCAGUAAAUAGAAAGAUAGUAACCGUAAAAAACAACCAGUUGCUUUAACGGCCUUUACUGUCUUUAGUUUAAACGUGGUUCCCGUUUGGCUGCGGUGGAACGCAAGUGUUGCUCCGGACAGGCCUCAGGCGGCCACGUGGAGGAGACGACGACUCACAAGAUGGAGAAGAGAAAAGGCAAAAGUGGAUCACAGCCUGGUGUCUCCAGACCUGUGUUCAACACGUGCCACCAUCCUGUUGUCAUGACGACGUCUAAUGUCACAUGAGGAGGUCAGGACGGCGUCUGUUCACGCUGACGGGAAGUCGAGCCCGAGUUUAAAAUGAAACGUGAGCUUCCGUCGGACACGGUGAAGCCGAGGCCAGGACAACACACCAGCUGAAGACCGGCUGUUUGGAACAAUGGUUCCCUUGAAACGCCGGGUUCUCUCAUCCCCCACCAGCUGAAGGAAGAGUUUGUUUGCAGAAAGACAACUUCACCUGUGCACCUUCAGCUACACCUUCGAGAUAGUACUUUAUGCUGUUCUACCAGUGUGAUCCCACCCCCUGACGUCGGCGGUCCAGUGAUGUGACAGGAUUGGAACCAAAUGGCUCCGGAGUCCAUUUCUUCUGCAGGUGACAAGGGGACUCGUAGAAGAUGGGACGUUGACGUGAUUGUUCAAAUCAUUUGAUUUCAUGUUAUAAAAAAAUAUAAAUAAAUGGCUUAAUUUGGAAAA